UUCGGGUGUAAAGCACUUUCAGUAGGGAGGAAGGUAGUGUAGUUAACACCUGCAUUAUUUGACGUUACCUACAGAAGAAGCACCGGCUAACUCCGUGCCAGCAGCCGCGGUAAUACGGAGGGGUGCGAGCGUUAAUCGGAAUUACUGGGCGUAAAGCGCAUGCAGGCGGCCUGUUAAGUCAGAUGUGAAAGCCCGGGGCUUAACCUCGGAAUUGCAUUUGAAACUGGCAGGCUAGAGUCUUGUAGAGGGGGGUAGGAAUUUCAGGUGUAGCGGUGAAAUGCGUAGAGAUCUGAAGGAAUACCAGUGGCGAAGGCGGCCCCCCUGGACAAAGACUGACGCUCAGAUGCGAAAGCGUGGGGAGCAAACAGGAUUAGAUACCCCUGGUAG
rnacentral:rRNA from 1 species